rnacentral:rRNA from 1 species
GACGAACCGUGCGAACGUUGUUCGGAAUCACUGGGCUUAAAGGGCGCGUAGGCGGCUCGCGAGGUCGGGGGUGAAAUCCCGCGGCUCAACCGCGGAAGGGCCUCCGAUACCGGCGGGCUGGAGGGGGGUAGGGGUGCGCGGAACUUCUGGUGGAGCGGUGAAAUGCGUUGAUAUCAGAAGGAACGCCGGCGGCGAAGGCGGCUCACUGGACCGGUACUGACGCUGAUGCGCGAAAGCGUGGGGAGCAAACGGG